rnacentral:rRNA from 1 species
AUGUAAUGUAAUUCCUACAACGUUAAUGCAUUAGAUCUUGUUAGAACUCCACAGCUAAGUGUGCUUGGGCUAGAUUAAUACUGGGAUGGGUGACCUCCCAGGAAGUCCUAGUGUUUUACAUG